AAAUUAGUAAAUAAAUAAACAAACCUAGUUACCUACCCCCCUCAAAACAAAACACACACAGAAAAGAUUAAUUUGGCAAAAAGAGUUACACAGCUAUGUGUAACCAGCCCUUUCUAACUCCAAGUAGCUCUUUCUAUUAAACCACAGCUGAAAUAUAUUAAACUAAAGGACAAACAUAAAAUAUAAAAAUUCAUUCUGGGAUACAACUAGAAUAAUGAAGUUGAAAGUUUAACUCAAAGAAAAGUAAAACAGAUUCCUUAAUGAAGAAAAGAACAGUAUUUCGCUUACUAUAAAGGACAAGACCCCCAACGACUGCCCUACAGCCAACACCAUGUGACAUCUCAGGGUAGUGUUUCUCCCACACAGCUGCUCACUGCAGGCCGAAGCUGGAUGCAGUAAAAGAAGGUCCACUGGCAGACAAAACAGUUCAGUCCAGAAGGCAGAUACCUAACUGGACCUAAUGAUAAAAUUUAGACUCCGGGCAGAAAUCAGCAAAUGCCUGCCCUCCCAAGCCAAAUCCAGCUCACUGCCUGCUUUUAUAAGGGCCACAAGCUAACACAGAUCUUCAAAGGCUAAAAAAAAAUUUUUUAAACAUAAGUAACGACAGACAUGAAAUCAAUUUAAAUUUCAGAGCCCAUAAGGAAGGUUUUAUUGGACAGUUAUUGAUUCAUUUACGAAUCCUCUAUGGCUGCUUCCAUGCAACAGCAGAACUAAGCAGUUGAGAGAUUACACAGCUCUCAAAGCCUGAAGUACUUAUUAUCCAGCCCUUUACAGAAAAAGUUCGCCGACUCCUGCCUUAAGGGAACAGAUGGGUCUCUAAUUUUGCCAUGAACAUUAUUUCUCAAAACUAAGCUUUCUGAAAAUUAACUGAAGAUCACUACUGCAACAAAUAAUUCUUAAAGACCUGCUCUCCCCCAGGCACCGUGCAAGCCUGGGGAAACAGAGCACUAGACAAGGUGCAGCGCCUGCCCUCACGGGGAAGCCCAGGGCCCACGGGUAUAGCCAAGUGCCUAAGUAACAGGAUGAAGAAAAUAUACAGACGAAGGGCAGCACAGCCUGGUGGCUAAGAGCACAUGUCUGACCU